rnacentral:miRNA from 1 species
ACUCUGAUGAGUUGGCCAAAAGUUUCAUUUGGGUUUUUCCGUACCAUCUUACAGAAAAACCCGAAUGAACUUUUAGGCCGAUCCAAUA